rnacentral:rRNA from 1 species
AGAGUUUGAUUAUGGCUCAGGAUAAACGCUGGCGGCGUGCAUUAAACAUGCAAGUCGAACGGACUAGGUCUUCGGACUUGGUUAGUGGCGGACGGCUGAGUAACACGUGAGUGACCUGUCCUACAAGUGGGGGAUAACAGCGAGAAAUCGUUGCUAAUACCGCAUGUGGUGGCUGGUGUAGGUGCCAGUCACUAAAGCGCGAAAGUGCGCUUGAGGAGGGGCUCGCGGCCGAUUAGCUAGUUGGUGGGGUAAAGGCUCACCAAGGCGAUGAUCGGUAGCUGGUCUGAGAGGAUGAUCAGCCAGACUGGGACUGAGACACGGCCCAGACUCCUACGGGAGGCAGCAGUUAGGAAUUUUGCACAAUGGGCGAAAGCCUGAAUGCAGCAACGCCGCGUGGGCGAUGAAGGUCUUCGGAUCGUAAAGCCCUUUUCUAGGGGAAGAGCAAGGACGGUACCCUAGGAAUAAGCCUCGGCUAACUACGUGCCAGCCGCAGC